CGCGAUUAUCGUGUCGCAAAGCAUUCAUUUACAAGAAAAUAACAAGAAGAAGAAGAAGAACGCAAUUACAGAAGCAUACAACUACUAUACAAUACAGGAGAACCAGUAUAGUAGCCGUAGUAGCAGUCGAAGUACUUCAGCACCGGCAGCAGCGCCACUCUAUCGAUUUCUUUCGUAAACGGUCGUAGUACUUAUAGUAGGAAUAGCAAAGAAACA
rnacentral:lncRNA from 1 species